CGCGGCCUAUCAGCUUGUUGGCGGGGUAACGGCCCACCAAGGCAACGACGGGUAGCUGGUUUGAGAGAACGAUCAGCCACACUGGAACUGAGACACGGUCCAGACUUCUACGGAAGGCAGCAGUAGGGAAUCUUGCGCAAUGGGCGAAAGCCUGACGCAGCGACGCCGCGUGCGGGAUGACGGCCCUAGUGGUUGUAAACCGCUUUCAGCAGGGACGAAAAUGACGGUACCUGCAGAAGAAGUCCCGGCUAACUACGUGCCAGCAGCCGCGGUAAUACGUAGGGGACAAGCGUUGUCCGGAUUCAUUGGGCGUAAAGAGCUCGUAGGCGGUUCAGUAAGUUGGGUGUGAAAGCUCCGGGCUCAACCCGGAGAGGCCACUCAAUACUGCUGUGACUAGAGUCCAGUAGAGGAGCGUGGAACUCCUGGUGUAGCGGUGAAAUGCGCAGAUAUCAGGAAGAACACCGGCAGCGAAGGCGGCGCUCUGGGCUGGUACUGACGCUGAGGAGCGAAAGCAUGGGUAGCAAACAGGAUUAGAUACCCUGGUGGUCCAUGCCGUAAACGUUGGGCACUAGGUGUGGGGAGGAAUCAACCCUCUCCGUGCCGUAGCUAACGCAUUAAGUGCCCCGCCUGGGGAGUACGG
rnacentral:rRNA from 1 species